rnacentral:rRNA from 1 species
CAGUAGCCGCGGUAAUACGUAGGGUGCAAGCGUUAAUCGGAACUACUGGGCGUAAAGCGUGCGCAGGCGGUUAUAUAAGUCAGAUGUGAAAUCCCCGGGCUCAACCUGGGAACUGCAUUUGAGACUGUAUGGCUAGAGUGUGUCAGAGGGGGGUAGAAUUCCACGUGUAGCAGUGAAAUGCGUAGAUAUGUGGAGGAAUACCGAUGGCGAAGGCAGCCCCCUGGGAUAACACUGACGCUCAUGCACGAAAGCGUGGGGAGCAAACAGGAUUAGAGACCCCAGUAGUCCCUGUCUCUUAUAC